rnacentral:rRNA from 1 species
GUGCCAGCCGCCGCGGUAAUACGAGGGGGGCAAGCGUUGUUCGGAAUUAUUGGGCGUAAAGGGCGCGUAGGCGGUUUGACAAGUCUGAUGUGAAAUCUAUGGGCUCAACCCAUAGCCUGCAUUAGAAACUGUCGGGCUUGAGUAUGGGAGAGGUGAGUGGAAUUUCCGGUGUAGCGGUGAAAUGCGUAGAUAUCGGAAGGAACACCUGUGGCGAAAGCGGCUCACUGGACCAUAACUGACGCUGAGGCGCGAAAGCUAGGGGAGCAAACAGGAUUAGAAACCCGCGUAGUCC